GAUGAACGCUAGCGAUAGGCUUAACACACGCAAGUCGAGGGGCAGCAUAUUCGAAGCUUGCUUUGAAUGAUGGCGACCGGCGCACGGGUGCGUAACGCGUAUGUAACCUGCCUGUCAGAAGGGGAUAACCCGGUGAAAGUCGGACUAAUACCCUAUAUGCUCACGAGAGGCGCCUGCCUUGAGGAGGAAAGAUUUAUCGCUAAGAGAUAGGCCUGCGUUCCAUUAGCUAGUUGGUAAGGUAACGGCUUACCAAGGCAACGAUGGAUAGGGGGACUGAGAGGUUGACCCCCCACAUUGACACUGAGAUACGGGUCAA
rnacentral:rRNA from 1 species